GGGUCAUAUACCAAUGGAGACUGGAUACGAGAUAAAACUAAAUAUGGCGGACGAAGCAAAGGUCAAACAUCUCGAGAGGAAAAUUGCCGUCGCAAGAAAAGAACUUAAUAAACUAAGGAGUGAUAUGAAUUCCAUGAAGAAAAUGUUUGUUCACAAGUGCAAACAAGUUAAAGAAAUGGUCGAGACAGGAAAACAGGAAAGCAUCCCACAGGAUAGUAACAAGGAACUCAUCUCUGGCAACAAUCCCCAACAGCAAAAUACUCAGAUAUCAUUUUAUCCUGAAAUGAUGCCAAUUGGGUUUGUUCAGUCUUGCUUCAAAGAAAAGAAUGGAAUUCCUAGACAGCCCAGUGUUUGCCCAGCGGCUAAGGCUAAGCUUUGUGUUUCAGUCAGAGGAUUUACCAACCCUGGACACUGCUUAGAUGGAUUGGAGAAUUUUUCUCAUGUUUGGAUUGUGUUUCUGUUUCACAAGAACACCAACAAGGCUGUCAAAGCUAAAGUUAAGCCUCCCCGUUUAGACGGUACUAAGGUUGGGGUGUUUGCCUCCCGCAGUCCUCACAGACCCAACCCUAUUGGCCUUACAUUGGCAAAGCUUGAUGGCAUUGUUGGUGACACACUGUUACUGUCCGCUAUCGAUCUCUUAGACGGCACACCUGUGCUUGAUAUCAAACCAUAUGUUCCAGACUAUGAUAAACCCCCAAACUUAGUUGAAGAUAAAUUGGAGCUGGAAAGCAGUGGUAAAACAUUGUCGCAAAACAGCGAUAUUUCUCGAAGUCAGGAAACUGCACCAGUCUCGCCAGGUUCACAGCUGAUUGAUCAAAGCUGCACGGUACCAAUGCAGCAAAUUCUGGAUUUGCAAUCUGAACCAACUACAUGCGCUCUAAGUAUUGCAGAAUGGAUAAGAAAGCCUCCUAUCAAUGAGUUGGAUGUCAAAUUUUCUGAUGCGGCUAUAGAACAAAUCGGUUGUUUCCAUGGGAAAAGGCACCCCCUUCUAAAAGAAUUGCACAGGAAAAGUGUUGAUUUGUCAGUUCAUAGACGUACUUGUCUACAGAAGCUUAAGCUUGGGUCAGAGACCUUCGCUGGUGAGGAGCCUGGAUCGUGUGAGCUAGGGAACAAUCAAAUCGUAGGGAACCCUUGGAUAAAGCCUUGUGAUGCUGGUACAUGUAGACCUGUCAAUACAGUUGCCGACUCUUAUGGCUCUUGUUCAAAAACGUCUUUAAAUGAGAAAACAAAUGAAUCAAUUGACGAUGCGAAUGGUUCGCAAGACGAGCUCUCACUCAAAGGAAAAAGUGCUAUUGUGAGCGAAGAAGUUGGCGGAGACUUGAAAGAAAGCAUUCCCCAACCUGUAACUGACAGUGAACUUCUGCCGCCGUCCGAUGUGUGUAUUUAUCAACUAGAAAUGCUUUCAUCCCCAGAGGAGGCGAAGCAAGCUAUUACCGAUAUUCUAAGGGCAGACCCUAGAUCGGUUUACAGACGAAACUGUUGUCAAGAUAAAUUGUAUUCCUUUAGCAUAGACACGAUGAAUGUGACUUGCAAUUUUGAAGAAUCGACGGUUGAAGUUUUACGAGUAGAGCCCGUGUUUUACAGGAAGCUGAAAUGAAACACACGAUUGACCAGGUUGAAUUAUGAUUCCACCGACAAAAUUCAAUGUUAAUUUUAUGUUUGAAACUUGCACUAACAAUCAGAAUUAUGUCGGUGAAAGGUUUCAAAUUUCCUACUUCCUUCAAAUUUUCGGGUAAAUGUUGGGAAAAAAGAAAAGUUGCAAUCGAAUUAUAUGUCGAUAUAUGCUGCCUUGAGUCACAUCAAGUCCCUCCUAACUGGUAUGGUGACUGAAAUACAAUAAUUAUUAACUCGUAUACAUAAAGACUAAAGCGUAUUACAGUUCAAAAUAUGAACCGUUGUAUGUUGUGCACUUUUGCAAAGGUAAAGUAGUUAAAUAUAACUCAUGUAAUGUUCGUUUUCUGAUUAUUCUCUCCGGCAUACUUAAGAUAUUGACCGCGACACGCAUUAGCAGCAGGUAAUGUAAGUUCUGUCACGUGACAGCGACGUAAUUAGAACAUCAGAUGGAAAUCGCACACCUGCCCUUGAUUAAAUAAUUCAAAAACUCAUCUCUAACCCAGCUUACAACUUACAUAUGUACAUAUCAAAUGUUCUGCCGGCUGCGAUAAGCACAGGUCGAUAUCUUUGCAUUGACCAUUCCCUAAAAUUCUCUGUCGUUAUAACACUAACUGCCACACGGACAUUGUAACCGUUGAAGAGAUUGUCGUAAAGGUGGUUGCAACGAAAAAAUUGCUUUCACAAUGAAUCAUCGAAUAUCGCCUCAAGAUGAUUUGAUUCUUCAAACAAGCCUUUCUGUGGCGGAUGAUGCAUAUUCACUUGGUAGCACGUUCACUCUGCAAGACCGAGUGGAAGCAAUUGAACAGUCUAGCGAAGAAUUUUACCAAAUCGUCAAGUACGAAAUGAGAGAAAAAGGAAUUGAAAGAGAGCAAGCGAUGGAUUCGGUUCGUCUCCAGAGAUUGAUCGAUGUGUGUGAUACUAAAGAAAAUACUGCACUGUAUCUACUACAAGAAUGGAAUUACGAGCCACAGGUAGAUAAAAAAGGCAAAUGCUUGACGUUGCAAAGUUUCGUCUUCCUCCAUCCUGUACUACAAACCUCCACCUUUGUAUCUCCUCCUCCAGCCCACUCCCUUUCUUUGCACUUUUUUCGGGUAGUGCCUUUUUCCUUGCGUUCCUUGGACGGUGUAUGGUUACGGGCUUUUUACGGAACGGAGAGGAAAACUGACAACUGCUUAACACAAAUGAAUUGUGGGGCCUCUUAGCCGGAGCUUGUGAUUUGUCGCUCACUGUAUAUGCGUAUUGAUAAGUGUUUUUUGUUUUUUUUUAAU
rnacentral:misc_RNA from 1 species